rnacentral:rRNA from 1 species
CCUACGGGAGGCAGCAGUGGGGAAUAUUGGACAAUGGGCGCAAGCCUGAUCCAGCAAUGCCGCGUGAGUGAUGAAGGCCUUAGGGUUGUAAAGCUCUUCCGACGGGGACGAUGAUGACGGUACCCGUAGAAGAAGCCCCGGCUAACUUCGUGCCAGCAGCCGCGGUAAU